UACGAAGGGUGCAAGCGUUAUUCGGAAUCAUUGGGCGUAAAGCGCGCGCAGGCGGAUUAAUAAGUCAGGUGUGAAAUCUCGAAGCUCAACUUCGAAACUGCGCCUGAAACUAUUAGUCUAGAAUGUCGGAGGGGGCAGGGGAAUUUCACGUGUAGGGGUAAAAUCCGUAGAGAUGUGAAGGAACACCGGAGGCGAAGGCGCCUGCCUGGACGACUAUUGACGCUGAGGCGCGAAAGCGUGGGGAGCAAACAGG
rnacentral:rRNA from 1 species